GAACCUGCGGAAGGAUCAUUGUCGAAACCUGCCCGGCAGAACGACCCGCGAACCGGUGAACGCACGCGCGGGGAAAGGCGUCCGGCGCGCGAGCGCCCCUCGCCGGCCCCCGCUCGCCGCGGGGGGCGAGCAUCGUCUCGCCCGCCGCGGCGAAACAACGAACCCCGGCGCGAGCCGCGCCAAGGAAAAUCAAACGAGAGAGCGCGCUCCCGCCGCCCCGGACACGGCGCGCGAGCGGGACGCGUCGCCUUCUUUCGACGAAAACCUAAAACGACUCUCGGCAACGGAUAUCUCGGCUCUCGCAUCGAUGAAGAACGUAGCGAAAUGCGAUACUUGGUGUGAAUUGCAGAAUCCCGUGAACCAUCGAGUCUUUGAACGCAAGUUGCGCCCCAAGCCGUCAGGCCGAGGGCACGUCUGCCUGGGUGUCACGCAUCGCUGCCCCUCCCCCAGCCCCCCUCGCGGGGCGCUGUCGGGCGGGCGGAGACUGGCCUCCCGCGCGCUCCCCGCUCGCGGUUGGCCCAAAUUCGAGUCUUCGGCGGCCGCGCCGCGACGAUCGGUGGCGAGAAAGAAAAAAAACUCUCGAUCUCUCGUCGCGCGCUCGCGCCUCCGUGUCCACGGCUCGCGGACCCUUUGCGCGCCCCGUACGCGGGCGCUCGCUUCGCGACCCCAGGUCAGGCGGGACCACCCGCUGAGUUUAAGCAUAUCAAUAAGCGGAGGA
rnacentral:rRNA from 1 species